rnacentral:tRNA from 1 species
GGCCCGUUAGCUCAAUGGAUAGAGCGGUUGCCUUCUAAGCAAUUGAUAGAGGUUCGAUUCCUCUACGGGCUA